rnacentral:rRNA from 1 species
GAUGAACGCUGGCGGCGUGCCUAAUACAUGCAAGUCGAGCGAACAGAUGAGGAGCUUGCGCCGCGGACGUUAGCGGCGGACGGGUGAGUAACACGUGGAUAACCUACCUAUAAGACGGGGAUAACUUCGGGAAACCGGAGCAAAUACCGGAGAAUAUAUUGAACCGCGUGGGUCAAUAGAGAAAGACGGUUGUGCGGGCACGUAUAGAUGGAUCUGCGCCGCAUGAGCUAGUUGGUAGGGUAAAGGCUUACUAAGGCAACGAGGCGUAGCCGACCUGAGAGGCUGAUCGCCCACCUUGGAACUGGGCCGCCCUCCAUACUCCUACGAGACGCACCAGUCGCGAACCUUCCGCAAUGGUCGAGAGCCUUACGGAGCAGCGGCGCGUCAGUGAUGACGGUCUUCGGAUCGUAAAACUCUGUUAUUAGUGAAAAACAACUGUCUCCGUUACCAUGCCCGUCUUGACGGUACCGAGUCAGAAAGCCCCGGCUAACUACGUG